AUUGAACGCUGGCGGCAGGCCUAACUCAUGCAAGUCGAGCGGAUGAAGGGAGCUUGCUCCUGGAUUCAGCGGCGGACGGGUGAGUAAUGCCUAGGAAUCUGCCUGGUAGUGGGGGAUAACGUCCGGAAACGGGCGCUAAUACCGCAUACGUCCUGAGGGAGAAAGUGGGGGAUCUUCGGACCUCACGCUAUCAGAUGAGCCUAGGUCGGAUUAGCUAGUUGGUGGGGUAAAGGCCUACCAAGGCGACGAUCCGUAACUGGUCUGAGAGGAUGAUCAGUCACACUGGAACUGAGACACGGUCCAGACUCCUACGGGAGGCAGCAGUGGGGAAUAUUGGACAAUGGGCGAAAGCCUGAUCCAGCCAUGCCGCGUGUGUGAAGAAGGUCUUCGGAUUGUAAAGCACUUUAAGUUGGGAGGAAGGGCAGUAAGUUAAUACCUUGCUGUUUUGACGUUACCAACAGAAUAAGCACCGGCUAACUUCGUG
rnacentral:rRNA from 1 species